UGUAGAAAAAAGUAAAAAUAAAGAAAAACCCUUGAAUGAGUAGGUAUCCAAACUUUGGACUAGUAUUGUAUAUGGAAAAACUCAAGCCCCUUAACCAAACCAACACACUAACACUCAAUUAUCAUUAACAAACAUAUCAUCCACAGCAUGAAAAAAUGUACUUUACUUGAAGCCUGCAGGUAUAAUGCAUCAUGAUGAAGUAAGUUUUAAUACAUUGUAAGACUUCUCAUGAGCAUGUUAUAGCUGUCAUUGAUAUGUUGUAUACUGUAUGUAUCAGUCAUAACAUCUCUUGUCUUUACUAUUCAUAACAUCUGUCAAAUCAUUAUUAUAAUGUUGCCAUGAACGUCUUGCGAAGGAGGGUUACCUUAUGUUCCUACCAACUGUUCCCUGACCUGGUUGUUAUUGAAAGAGCCAUUCUAAAGAAAAACAAGAAUUGCUUCUUGGAAUGCCUUCUGGAUAAACAAAGGUUAUUUUAAUCCCCCAGUCCUUCGCAGUUUCACUCAAAGCUGGCACUGUGAGGCUUAAGGCUUCCCACAUGGCACCCUAUUCCUUGUGUCCCUACCAUAGGUCCCUGGUCAAAAGUAGUGCACUUCAUAGGGAUUAGGGUGCCAUUUGGGACGUAACCUAUGGGCUGAGUCGUCAAUUAAGCUAACUAACUAACACACAUUCACAGGCUCCCUUCUUUCCUCUGUGCUUUAAUGUGGCAGGUAAUUGCCAGCUACAUAAUGACCAUCUUACAGGCUGGGCCUGGAAAGGUUGCCUGCUGACUGGCUUUUGAUACACUGCAUUAAUGAAGUUUAUGACUCUUGAGCCCUGGGGAUCUGUCAAGCUCCCUUGUGCCAGGAAGAUAACUUUGCUUGAAGCUCCCUUGUGCCAGGAAGAUAACUUUGCUUAGGUGUUAAAGUGACCUCGCUUUACCUGUAUGAUGAGAAUGUAUUGUAUACCAGAAAGCGCCUCUGCGUUAGAAGUGUCAGGGAAGGGGCAGCUGGGAAAUGCUUUUGCAGAAGUUUGUUUGAGCUUUGAAGAGCGGUUUUGUCAAAGACCUGUUAGCAGUAAUGAUUGAUUUUUUUUCCUUCUCCGCUGCGUUUUCUGUCUCUUUACUUUACUGGUGCGUAGUCUGUCUCAUCCGCCAUCUUUUUAGAGUACCCACUUUAGUACUCAGAUAAUUAAAACGUUUGUCAUUACAGAGCGACUGCCCCUAUAAAUCAACUAAUCCCUUUUGAAAAUGGCCUAUGUAGCAUCAAUAUGAGUCCGAAACAUUUAUUCUAGUUUUAGAAUUGACUACAAAGUGUAAUUAGGAUAAUUAGAGUAAUUAAGUCAGUCUUGUCUAAAACUGAGUUUGGAACCUUAGUGUGUCACAUCGAGUUAAUUAAGGUUGGGUUUGGAUUACAAUGUUAACAAAUCAUGCCCCCUUUUGCCAAACUCCACAUGCAAAUCGCCCCUCAGCCCGCUUCGUUCUGUUCAUUAAGUGGGGCUCCGUUGUUUCAUCGCCCCCAAUACUUUCAAAGGAUCGCUGCCAUUUUAAACUGAAUAGCCCUGUACGGAUUGACCAUGCAAUGCAUGCAUCCAGCAGGAUGCACAGCCAACUGGUUUGCAUGCCCUGCCGAUGGAACCUAUCAUGUGGAAGUUGGUUGGAGUUCGUUGGUCCCCAGUGGUGGUGAGUAUACAGGUAGCUAGAUCACGAAUUGCUGGUUGUGCGUCUGUAGACUUUGAUAAUCAUUGUCAGCUAUGCAAGUGAUGAUAGUGACGAGUGACGUUAGCUAGCUAGCUACCCUAACGGUCUAGAUAGUUACCUAGCUGACUAACGUUAGCCUAACUCGGUACAAUGCCGAUUUUGCUUGGAAACACAAAAAAUUACAAAACAAGAAAAUUAUUAGUUGGAAAACCUUUUUGUAUGAUUGUGAUGUCGCCAGAUUGACUUUAGAUGCAGUAUAACUUUAGCCAGCUAACUAAGUUUGAGGGGACCACCGUAUAUGACCUAUUUUAGCAUUGCUAGCUAUUUUCUUUUACAAAAAUUGCUAGUAACAGUAAAGGCAACAUUGCCAUCUCUAUAAUGAAUUUGACUACAUCAUAAUAUGGCAGAUUCCUAUUAAUUAUAUGUUAUCCUAUUUCCAUGCCACUAAGGGCUCUAUUCAAUCCGUAUCUUGGAAGUUCAGCUUUACAGCGUGAUUUAAAUAAGAAAGCAAAGUUUCCGCUCUAGCUGAGACUGCGUUCACGGUAAACGCUUCUCAAUUCAGAAAUUACCUUUUACAUUUCUAUCGUGGAAAAUGUAAUGCUUCAUCUUUACAGAUUGAAUAGAGCCCUACAUUUUUGUGUAUUAAUAUGAAACAGUCACAUUAGCCUCUGAGGUGCAACCCCAUUUCCAGGGAACAAAUAUAUAUUGGAUGCAGCUAUGGUGGUACUAGCUAACUCGUGUCUGACUACAACAAUGUACUAACUAGCAGCAACAAACUCCAGCCAUCCCAGGGCCAUAGCAAAACUUGUCAUAGCUGGUUUCAUAGUAUAAUGGCGUCCCCGGCCUGAAUCUAAUUCAAUCUCGAGCCAGUCAGCCUACAUUUGUUAAGCAUAGAUUUAGCAUCCAAACAAGGUUACGUUUUUUCUCAAACUAUGUCUAUAAUUGAGGGUUGAUGACAGUCGUUGACCCUGUUUUUCUGUUAGACAAAGUGCAUAGUUGGGUGCCAGACUGAUCCCCUGGUCAUGAACGGAUGCCGGGACCUACCAGCUUGUCAGGCAAUACCUCCGACUAAGUGUCAUGCGACACAAUUACCCUUGCGACACCACCUCCGUUGUUGCCAGACUCUCCCUCGACUCCUAUGAAAAGGACACGCCAUCAUGAGGCCUUUGAUAGUGACCCGAGUUACUGCCAUGAUGACAAACGGCUUCGACAGGUCCUCACAGUCAACACCACCUCAUAAGAUUGCCUGCUGCAGUUGUUCGAGAGAUGUCCAGUUUACAGCAAAACAUGCACCAUAGAGAAGACCAGAAAGGGGAACCUCUUCAGCAUCAUCCAAACAUCCAAACAUGCCCUCACUGCAUUCUAUUUCACUUCACAUUUUAUCAUAUCUGAAGUGAAAUAGGAAGGUGAGUGCAACGACCAGGAUGGUUCCACCAGGCUAAUCAUAACCACCAUUGAUAAUGUAAUCAGUGGUGUGUGUCUGACCGACCAGUAUCUUCGAUGAGCCAGGAGCAGAUCUACGCUACUUUGCCCAUCAAUUCGGCCUCUGUCAAAGACCUCACCUCCAGCCUCACCUCUUGCCUGUACUAAAAAAUGUCUGCAGCAUUGAAGGUCUCCAAGAAUACAGUGGCCUCCUUCCAUUUUAAGAAUGAUGAAGUUUGGAACCACCAAGACUCUUCCUAGAGCAGUUGGCAGACAAGGUCCUUGGUCAGAGUGGUGAUCAAGAACCCGAUGGUCACUCUGACAGAGCUCUGGAGUUCUUCCUUCCAGAUGGACAACGAUCCAACAAUCAGGCCUUUAUGGUAGAGUGGCCAGACGGAAG